GACGAACGCUGGCGGCGUGUCUAAUACAUGCAAGUUGAGCGAUGAAGAUUGGUGCUUGCACCAAUUUGAAGAGCAGCGAACGGGUGAGUAACGCGUGGGGAAUCUGCCUUUGAGCGGGGGACAACAUUUGGAAACGAAUGCUAAUACCGCAUAACAACUUUAAACAUAAGUUUUAAGUUUGAAAGAUGCAAUUGCAUCACUCAAAGAUGAUCCCGCGUUGUAUUAGCUAGUUGGUGAGGUAAAGGCUCACCAAGGCGAUGAUACAUAGCCGACCUGAGAGGGUGAUCGGCCACAUUGGGACUGAGACACGGCCCAAACUCCUACGGGAGGCAGCAGUAGGGAAUCUUCGGCAAUGGACGAAAGUCUGACCGAGCAACGCCGCGUGAGUGAAGAAGGUUUUCGGAUCGUAAAACUCUGUUGGUAGAGAAGGACGUUGGUGAGAGUGGAAAGCUCAUCAAGUGACGGUAACUACCCAGAAAGGGACGGCUAACUACGUG
rnacentral:rRNA from 1 species